GAUGAACGCUGGCGGCGUGCCUAAUACAUGCAAGUCGAGCGAACGGACGAGAAGCUUGCUUCUCUGAUGUUAGCGGCGGACGGGUGAGUAACACGUGGAUAACCUACCUAUAAGACUGGGAUAACUUCGGGAAACCGGAGCUAAUACCGGAUAAUAUUUUGAACCGCAUGGUUCAAAAGUGAAAGACGGUCUUGCUGUCACUAAUAGCUGGAUCCGCGCUGCAUUAGCUAGUUGGUAAGGUAACGGCUUACCAAGGCAACGAUGCAUAGCCGACCUGAGAGGGGGAUCGGCCACACUGGAACUGAGACACGGUCCAGACUCCUACGGGAGGCAGCAGUAGGGAAUCUUCCGCAAUGGGCGAAAGCCUGACGGAGCAACGCCGCGUGAGUGAUGAAGGUCUUCGGAUCGUAAAACUCUGUUAUUAGGGAAGAACAUAUGUGUAAGUAACUGUGCACAUCUUGACGGUACCUAAUCAGAAAGCCACGGCUAACUACGUG
rnacentral:rRNA from 1 species